GCGUCGUGGACCCGGGGGCAGUGCCCGGCGGCUCCACCACCAGUGCAGAAUUUAAAGUAAAAAGUUUAGAGAGGGCAAAAUAAGCUCAUCACUAUUCACUCUAAACUCUGCAUUGAUGAUGGGGCCGAAACAGGAUCGACACGCGUAGUAAAGAUAAAGUCUGCAUCCGUUUGAGGCACGGUCGUAUCCGUCCAAUUUUUAUAGAUGCAAAUGAUAACGUAUCUACCGUAGCAGCUAACGACAACGUUUUCGUUGAAGAUGGUGAAAAAAUCGCUGCUUAAUUGCACCGAUGAAGCUACUAAUCCCUGAUGCUUAGGCAGACGGUGGGGCGCGGGGCGGCCUAGCAACAGAACUGCCCCAUU
rnacentral:tmRNA from 1 species